GAUGAACGCUAGCGGGAGGCUUAACACAUGCAAGUCGAGGGGCAGCACGAGGUAGCAAUACUUUGGUGGCGACCGGCGCACGGGUGAGUAACGCGUAUGCAACCUACCCUGUACAGGGGGAUAACCCGGAGAAAUUCGGACUAAUACCCCAUAAAGAUAUUUAGAGGCAUCUUUGAAUAUUUAAAGUUCCGGCGGUACGGGAUGGGCAUGCGUAACAUUAGCUAGUUGGUAAGGUAACGGCUUACCAAGGCAACGAUGUUUAGGGGUCCUGAGAGGGUGAUACCCCACACUGGUACUGAGACACGGACCAGACUCCUACGGGAGGCAGCAGUGAGGAAUAUUGGUCAAUGGGCGCAAGCCUGAACCAGCCAUCCCGCGUGAAGGAAGAAUGCGCUAUGCGUUGUAAACUUCUUUUCCAGGGGAAUAAAAUUUUGUACGUGUACGGAAUUGAAGGUACCCUGAGAAUAAGCAUCGGCUAACUCCGUGCCAGCAGCCGCCGUAAAAC
rnacentral:rRNA from 1 species